AUCAGGCUGGCUCAGUUGGAAAAGCAUGUGAUUCUUGAUCUCAGGAUUGUGGGUUCAAGCCCCACGUUGGGUG
rnacentral:tRNA from 1 species